AUAACACGGCCGGUCGGCCGGCCGGCCGUGUUGUGUUAUUUUUUUUUUAUCGUAGCAUAACACGGCCGGUCGGCCGGCCGGCCGUGUUGUGUUA